UAACCUGCCCAAGAGAUCGGGAUAACACCUGGAAACAGAUGCUAAUACCGGAUAACAAUAGAUGAUGCCUAUCAACUGUUUAAAAGAUGGUUCUGCUAUCACUCUUGGAUGGACCUGCGGUGCAUUAGCUAGUUGGUAGGGUAACGGCCUACCAAGGCGAUGAUGCAUAGCCGAGUUGAGAGACUGAUCGGCCACAUUGGGACUGAGACACGGCCCAAACUCCUACGGGAGGCAGCAGGA
rnacentral:rRNA from 1 species